rnacentral:rRNA from 1 species
UACGAAGGGGGCUAGCGUUGCUCGGAAUCACUGGGCGUAAAGCGCACGUAGGCGGAUCUUUAAGUCAGGGGUGAAAUCCUGGAGCUCAACUCCAGAACUGCCUUUGAUACUGGGAAGCUUGAGUCCGGGAGAGGUGAGUGGAACUCCGAGUGUAGAGGUGAAAUUCGUAGAUAUUCGGAAGAACACCAGUGGCGAAGGCGGCUCACUGGCCCGGUACUGACGCUGAGGUGCGAAAGCGUGGGGAGCAAACAGG